GAUGAACGCUGGCGGCGUGCCUAACACAUGCAAGUCGAACGAAAAGACAAGGAGCUUGCCUUCUUGACGUAAGAGGCGCGGGGGGGUGUGACAUGUGGGUAAAACACCUAUAUGACGGGGAAAACCUAGGGAAAACGGAACCUAAAACGGCAAAACUACUGAAGCGCAUGGUUGAAUAGUGAAAGACGGCUUUGCUGCCACUUAUAGAAGGUUCCGCGCCGCAUUAGCUAGUUGGUAAGGUAACGGCUUACCAAGGCAACGAUGCGUAGCCGACCUGAGAGGGUGAUCGGCCACACUGGAACUGAGACACGGUCCAGACUCCUACGGGAGGCAGCAGUAGGGAAUCUUGCGCAAUGGGCGAAAGCCUGACGCAGCAACGCCGCGUGUGUGAAGAAGGCCUUCGGAUCGUAAAGCUCUUUUAGCGGGGAAGAACGAAGUUAUAAUUAUACAUUCACUUAUUGACGGUACCUGAACAAGAAGCCACGGCUAACUACGUG
rnacentral:rRNA from 1 species